rnacentral:rRNA from 1 species
AUACGGAGGGUGCAAGCGUUAUCCGGAAUCAUUGGGUUUAAAGGGUCCGUAGGCGGACUAUUAAGUCAGAGGUGAAAUCCCACAGCUCAACUGUGGAACUGCCUUUGAUACUGGUAGUCUUGAGUUAUAUGGAAGUAGAUAGAAUGUGUAGUGUAGCGGUGAAAUGCAUAGAUAUUACACAGAAUACCGAUUGCGAAGGCAGUCUACUACGUGUAUACUGACGCUAAGGGACGAAAGCGUGGGGAGCGAACAGGAUUAGAAACCCCAGUAGUCC